GUUACCCACGUGGGUCCGAAGCUGUCGCCGACCUGCGCAGGGCUGAAGUUCUGCUGCACCGCCUUCUCAUAGGGAAGCCUCUCGGGCGUCAGGAAGCUGGAGAGUGUCACCGAGCAGCUGUCCCCGAAGAGCCUGGGCAGGAGCAGCUGAUGGGCGCAUGCUCGAAGCCGCCCCUGUCCCACCCGUGAGCCAGCGGAUGGCUGGGGAAACGCUCUCCCUUGGCUAAGGCCGUGAGGACUGCCUGGCAGCUCAGCAGCACAGACCAACCUCUACCGUUCGCUCCCCAGCCCCUGGCCUGGCAGUGGCGGGAACUUUGUUCCGCGGCCCGGUUGGCCACGGCCUGGGUUUCCCUCCGGAAGGGAAGGGGAGAGCGCGCGGGUGUGGUAGGCCAAGGACCACACCUGCCGCGAAGGUUACAGUCGGUGAAGUAGAUCGGGGACACGAACUUCUCCACCCGCUCGAAAGUGGUGCGCCAGUGCUUCAAGAACGGCGCUGCCGCCAUGGCGAUGCGCCUUCCCUCCCCGGAAGAUCCUUGGUGCUGCCGGCUCGUUGCACCGCUUGGAACCAAAGGUUCCGGCAUCCAACCAGCUUACAGACCCGAGCAGCUUUUCUGGGAACACCACGGCUUUUGCAAGAGGCUGGCUCUGGGGAGCCUCCCAGUGAAACCCGGAAGCUGAGCCUUCGCGGUUCUCACCUCAGCCUUGCUGUCAGACAGCUGGGUAAAUUAUUUUUAAAUACAAUGGUAUCUGCCUCUCUCAGAAUCUUUAGAAAUGGAAGCAUUACAAAUCCAGAGACAACGAUGGGAUACCUCAAAUCGUUCAUCUUCACAACGGUAAAUAUGUUCUUCAUACUGAGUCUUCUUGGAACUAACAAAAGUGGAGUCUUCAGACCAAGAUGGGAAGGAAACCCAGAAAACCCUCCUGGCAUUGGCUACCAUAACCAUAGCCUGACUUGUGAAAUUCAGGGAUAAGUUGAAAGACUAUCAGAACCAUUUUCUAUUUUGAAUUAAGACUUUGUGGUUCUGGUGAGCUGAGGCUAAAGAGCCAGCCACGAUUAAGAGACCACUACUACUGCAACAGUGAAACUUUUACAACUUAUGCUGGUCAGCUGGAGCUGAGAAAUUAGUGAUUAAGAAGAGACCACAUUACUGAGGUGACAUCUUCUGGGAGGUGUCUCCUCGAGACCACCAAAGGGAUGCUGCUAGGAUGAAGUAACCCUUUAUUUCUGCUGCAGGAGCCAGAUUGGGUCCCCAGGGAGUACUGGCUUUAAAGGCAUGAAAUCAUCAGAGAGCAGCUGAGGCUUGGCACCUGGAGAAGCCAGGAGAGGGCAUUGGUGAAAGUGCAGCCAGAAAAGCAAGUGAAGCCAAGGAUUGAAGGAGUAAGAAAAAGAAGAGCCCAGGAGAGGUUAUUUGUGAAAGGGCAGCCCAGCUGCAUUAGAAUAGCCAACUAUUUUGAAGAGGAUAAUACAGCAGGAAGACCAUCAAGCAGCAAUGGUGGAGUGCAACCUGUCUAAGCCUACGAGACAACCUGUAGCCAUUAGAGCCAGAAAACUAGCCGAAGCCUUUUGGAGGAGCAGCCCCAGAAGGUUAAUGGUAAGCGGAACUCAGGCAUUGGACAGUUAUUUACACACAGUUAAGAGCUUGAGUUUCCCUUACUCAGACUAUGACUGUGCCCUGGUUCUUCCCUCUUGAAGAAAGAAAGAAUUUAAUAAGCUCAUUUUUGAUUCUACAGGAGACCAUAGUAGAAAGACUUUGAGUUCAGAGGUUUUUUAAGAGACUGGAUUUCAAACUUUUUAAUGCAUUUGAAUUUAAAAAGACUAUAGAACUUUUAAAGUUAUUUAUGCUUUAUUAUAUUUUGAUACUANNNNNNNNNNNNNNNNNNNNNNNNNUAAUAUUAAUAGGCCAUUUUGGAGACAAAUAUAAAGGGUUCUAAU
ensembl:antisense Man2c1os mannosidase, alpha, class 2C, member 1, opposite strand